UAACGCAGACAGUGAAUGCCUUGGUGCAAGUUGCCGAAGAAGGACGCACAUGGUAGCGAUAUUCGUCGGGGAGGAGCCACGAUCCUUUGAUCCGGCGGUGUCCGAAUGGGGAAACCCUACCAACUUCAUAGUUGGUAACUCCACAGCCAAAGUUCCGAUUUAAUCGGAACAUAACUGUGGUAGAGGGAACCGUCCAAACUGAAACAUCUAAGUAGGGCGAGGAAGAGAAAUCAAUCGAUAUUCCGUCAGUAGCGGAGAGCGAAAGCGGAAAAGCCCAAACCAGCGUGCGAGGGGGUUGUAGGAGCCCAACGUGGGAGUUGACUUAAUAGCAGAACCAUCUGGAAUGAUAGACCACAGAGAGUGAAAGUCUCGUAUGCAAAAUUAAGUUGACCUCUAGGGAAUUCCUGAGUAUCCCGAUGUAAACUCUUCGGGAGAAGCUGGGGGAACCAUCCUCCAAGGCUAAAUACGACUUGCAACCGAUAGUGAACUAGUACCGUGAGGGAAAGGCGAAAAGAAGGGCGGGACGCCCAGUGAAAUAGAACCUGAAACUGUUUGCGGACAAACCGUAAGAGCUCGACCAAUAACUAAUAACUAAUCGAACGAACGCGGAGCGUGAGUGAUUGCGUGCCUAUUGAAGAAUGAGCCGGCGAGUUGUCGUUUGGUGCAGCUUAACCUGCGGGGGGAGGCAUAGGGAAACCAAGUUUUAAUAGAGCGUUUAGUACCAAGCGGCAGACCCGAAACCGGGUGAUCUAUCCAUGAGCAGGGUGAACCCCGCAGAAGUGCGGGAGGAGGCCCGAACCGGUUGAUGUUGCAAUAUCAUCGGAUGACUUGUGGAUAGCGGUAAAAUGCCAAACGAACCCGGAGAUAGCUGGUUCUCCCCGAAAGGUCUAUAGGGACCGUGGUACGUCAGGUGUUAUCGGUGGUAGAGCUACUGAAUGGGAUAGCGAGGGUAACCGAGUUAUUUCAACCAAACUCCGAAUAACGAUGUACACUAACGUGCUAAACAGUCGCAUCGGGCUAAGCUGAUGCGGCGAAAGGGAAACAUCCCAGACUCUCAGCUAAGGCCUCUAAAUUGCAGCUAAGUUUUAAAGGAAGUUCGCGUCCUUAGACACCCAGGAGGUUGGCUUAGAAGCAGCCACCCUUUAAAGAUAGCGUAACAGCUCACUGGUUGAGGUUGUGGGCGCCGAAAAUUUAUCGAGGAUAAGCUGUAUGCCGAAGCUGGAGAUUUCGUGCGAUAUGGUAGGGGAGCGUUCCAUAUACGGUGAAGUCGUUUUGUAAAAAACGGUGGAGUGUAUGGAAGUGAGAAUGCCGGUAUGAGUAGCGUACUACUCCGGUGAGAAUCCGGAGCACCGAAUGCCCGAGGAUUCCGCCCAGACGUUCGUCGAGGGCGGGUUAAUCGGUACCUAAGGGAAGGCCGAAAGGCGUACCCGAUGGAUAACUGGUCAAAAUUCCAGUAUUUAUUUUAACGAUUUGGGGUGUAAGUUAUAAGAUAGUGUCAGCAGGAAAAUCCGCUAAUACGUUUAAUCGAAUAACGAUGCAGAGUCUUGUGCAAACAGGACAAUUUCAUCCCAUUCAAUCUACAAGAAAAGGCUCGCAGUGAGAUUCAAAGUAAGCCGUACCGCAAACCGACACAGGUGGGCUGGUCGAGAAGACUAAGGUGAGCGAGAGAAAGAGGUUCAAGGAACUCGGCAAAAAAUCUGGACGUAAGUUCGCAAGAUGUCCUGUCGCCGCAAGGCGACUACAACAAAAGAGUGCUAACCGACUGUUUAUCAAAAACACAGGUCCGUGCAAAAGCGUAAGCUGAAGUAUACGGGCUGACGCCUGCCCAGUGCCGGUAAGUUAAGAGGAUGGGUGGUCCGAUGUUACAUCGGACUGCUCUGAAUUCAAGCUCCGGUAAACGGCGGCUUUAACUAUAAGAGUCCUACGGUGGAAAAUUCGCCGCCGUAGUAAAAUCUGAGCGAAGUUCCUUGUCGUGUAAGUUACGACCUGCACGAAAGGCGUCACGAGUUAGCAACUGUCUCGAGCCUCUACUCGGCGAAAUUGCGUUGGCUGUGAAGACGCGGCCUACUUCCACCAGGACAAAAAGAGUUAUUGGUUCAUGGUUCGUAGUUAAGAAAAAUUACUAUGAACUACGAACUAACUAACCAACUAACUAUUUGCGCGCAGCGCAUGCUCAAUCGUGUAAUACCUCCCUUUGGAACGUGGCAAGACUUACCUAAGUCGCCUGAACACGGCGACAGGGAAAGUGCUAGGUGGGCAGUUUUACUGGGGCGGUACCUUGCCAAAAGGUAACGCAAGGGUACAAAGGUCGGCUUAGUACGGAUGGACAUCGUACUGAAUGUAUAAAGGCAUAAGCCGGCUUGACUGCGACAGUGACGGCUGGAGCAGGAACGAAAGUUGGUCUUAGUGAUCCCCCAAACCAGUGUGGAAUGGUUGGGGCUUAACGGAUAAAAGCUACCCCGGGGAUAACAGAGUAGUCGCACCCGAGAGUCCAUAUCGACGGUGCGGUUCGCUACCUCAACAUUGAUGUCGGCUCACCGCAUCCUGGGGGGGGAGCACCUCCCAAGGGUUGGUCUGUUCGCCCAUUAAAGCGGUACGUGAGCUGGGUUCAGAACGUCGUAAGACAGUUCGGACUCUAUCCGGUGGAAGCGUUCGAGUCUUGAAGGGAGCUCUCCUCAGUACGAGAGGACCAGGAGGGAGGAAUCCCUGGUGUGCCGGUUGUGGCAUCAGCCGCAACGCCGGGUAGCUACAUUCCUAAGGGAUAACCGCUGAAAGCAUCUAAGUGGGAAGCCCACCCUAAGAUUAGGACUCGUUAUUAGAUCCCAGAAAGAAUAUCUGGUUGAUAGACUGGAAGUGGAAGGGCAGCAAUGCCUUAAGCUUACCAGUACUAAUCGAUCGA
rnacentral:rRNA from 1 species